rnacentral:rRNA from 1 species
GAUGAACGCUAGCGGCAGGCUUAAUACAUGCAAGUCGUGGGGCAGCAGCUUUAUAGCAAUAUAGAGGCUGGCGACCGGCAAACGGGUGCGGAACACGUACUGAACCUUCCUUUAAGUGGGGAAUAGCCCAGAGAAAUUUGGAUUAAUACCCCGUAACAUAUAGAAGUGGCAUCACUUUUAUAUUAAAGCUCCGGCGCUUAAAGAUGGCAGUGCGGCCGAUUAGGUAGUUGGCGGGGUAACGGCCCACCAAGCCUACGAUCAGUAACUGGUGUGAGAGCACGACCAGUCACACGGGCACUGAGACACGGGCCCGACUCCUACGGGAGGCAGCAGUAAGGAAUAUUGGUCAAUGGACGGAAGUCUGAACCAGCCAUGCCGCGUGGAGGAUGAAGGUCCUCUGGAUUGUAAACUUCUUUUAUCUGGGACGAAAAAGGGCUUUUCUAGGUCAACUGACGGUACCAGAUGAAUAAGCACCGGCUAACUCCGUGCCAGCCGCCGCGGUAACAC